CUUUUCAUGUCCAGUCUGCAACUCCGCUGCGUCGGUAGUUCAGACUGCGGGGGAGUGUUGGAGUAUGUGUGUAUUAUGGCCCAAUAAGGCCCAUGUAUGACUACUAUAUAGCUACCCUCUAGGGUUAGCCCAAUAGACAAGCUUUACCUCUAAUAGUUUAGUAGCUCUGCGUUUUAACCUUGGAUUUUCCUUCCCUUUGUCUCAUUUUUGUACUGUUGGCUUGAAUCAAUGAGCCUGACCUAUGCAACAGUCAUUGGAAUUCUCCUCAAGCUGAAGAGACUCACAAAUGGGCAUCCUUCAUGUUACUCUUCGGUGUGCUGGAUGGCCACGGGCAACUGGGACAAUGGAGCAGGACGCCAUGCUGAACUGUAUAUGCGUGUUUAGAUGUGUGACGAGGACAGGAGCAUGUUCCAGAUGUGCAAAGAUGAGCAGGCAUCAAGUGGAUGAAGAAGUCAGAAGUAAGCUGGCUGCAUUGGAGGUGGGCCAUCAAAAUGAAAUUCAGAGAACAGUUUCUGCAUUCGCUCGACUUCAGAAAUAUGCAGAAUCAAGAAAAGAGAUAGACAGAAGACUAGAUGUGCCCUUCCAGAGAAGAAUGUAUGUACCUUUGUAAAUGUUUCUUGCAUUUCUUGAAGUAUGCAAUUUCCAUAUUUUUACAAAUACUAGAGAAAAAUUCUAUUUGUUUUAAUGAGAUAUAAAGCAUUUGUAGUACUAUUCCAAUGUCCGUAUCCAAAAUAGGAGCAGGUUCUCUCAGCAAUGAGCUAAUCGCGUACUGCAUUGUUUAGCAAUGCUGAUUUCUCUGUUAAAUUAUUCUGCCUUCAUUUAUUCUAUAUUCCUAAGUGAAAAGUGUAUGCAUUUACAAGGGCAUCUGGAACUUGCUUUCAGUGUGCUUUAUAUAAUCUGAAGAUAAGUCGUA